CUAUCAAUUUCAAUGGCGAUUAGGUCCUCUACGAUCGCGGCGGUGAUGACGGUGGCGGUGCUGUUGGCCGCUGGAAGAGUGGCGGAGGGGCAGUCGUCGGAUUGCGCCUCUAAGCUGGAGCCCUGCGUGGACUACUUGAACUCGACGAAACCCUCAGCGGAGUGCUGCGACGCCAUGAGAAUUGUGAUAACUACUCAGCUCCCUUGUCUGUGCGGAUUGAUUAGAAACCCAGGCGCUCUCCCCGUCAAUAUCACUCAAGCUCUUGAGCUCCCUAAGCAUUGCAACCCUCCCUGGUGAUACCAGUGCUUGCAACGCAAUUGCUGACGCUCCAGGCUCCUCAUCUCUCCCACCUCCAGGUAACUUAAUUAUGCCUCUUCUUUUACUAAUACUAAUCAAUCUACUAAUUUUAAUUUAGCAUUCCCCUACCCAAAGUUGAAAAAUAAAUAAAGUAUUAGUUGUCAAAUUAAAUUCAUAAAACUCAUUACAUCCCGAGACUCAAUCCUCAUUCGUUAGAUUAAUAUACUAUGUAAAAGUCCCCUCACCAAUGUUACAUUUUUGUUUAGUAAUAUUACACAUAAUUGAUAGCAAAGAUUAAUAGACACAUGAAUAUUACAAAUUAAUCAUGCUCGUUAUUUUAUUGGGGUAUUAAUUAUACUAACACACUAUUCAGAGAUAUGCAUAUAUGUAAAUAUUAAAUACUACUAUAAUGGUUAAAUUUAUGAUUGUUCACAACAAUACUGCCUAAAAACUGACUAACUCAGAAUACAAGGCUAACUUUCACCAUCACCUUAAUGUUGUUGAUUCGUAACAUUUGUCGGUUGAAGUUUCGCUAGCCAAUUAAUUAGGUUUUGGAUUACUAGAAGCUCUCUAAAGGUUGUGUAUUUGGAAUUAAACAAAGAAAAAGAAGAAGCAUCUUUUGGUAAUUAAUAAGUAUAGCGAUUACCAAAUCAAAUAGAUGGAUUAUUAUAGAUUGACUAUUAUUAUAAGGUCCAUGAUUUGACCAGUGCACUACAGUGGCCAAAUUUACGCUGUUUCCGAGCUGCUAAAUGUUGACCCACGUGGCCGACCAACUAUUCAAACACCCAAUAAUAUACACCUAAUAGUUUGUCCAAAUUGAAUUGCAUCUGUUUGUUUGUUUUCACUUUACAUUAGCAACCAAUAAUGGUCUUAAAAGUCAUCUUAUCACUGGUUCCAAUUUCCAAACAUUUAUGGGUGUUUGAGAAUACAAUAUUUUUAUCUCUAUUUAUUUAUUUAUAUCAAAAGUUUGGCACGCUAUGUAUUUAAAUAGUGACACUGUUAAGGGUAGCCUUCCUUAAUGUUCGAAUUCCACACAAUCAAGAAACCGAAGCCGUGGUCGUCGAGCGCCCAAGAGGUUUGGGUCGGCAAAGACGUCCGGUAGAGGGGGUGCUGGGCGCGAGAGAGGUUCUCGUCGACAGCGAUAGAGAAUUAGAGUUUUGUGAUUCAAGCCAAGUUGGGCGAAAUAUUGAUUUCAUUAACUGGUUGAAUGAAUAAAAUGAUAAUAACCUAUCCCUAUUUAUAAUACUAGAAUACUAGCUUAUGGAACAAGAAAACAAUAUAGGAAAAUAUACUAUGAAACAAAAGAUAACUAAAUAAAAGAUAUGGAAGAUAUGACAUUAAUGUCUCGUAUCAGACACCCGGUGGCAACAGCGGUAACGGUGCUGGUGCACUCACCCAGAUGGGGAUGCCGGCUCUCCAGCUCUCACCUUCUUCUAUUAGUUGAAGAAAUCGAGAUAUAUACCCAUUUCUAUGUAUGAUUUAUUUUGUUUUGCUGGUAGAGGAGGUUAAUAAGUUUGGAUGUUAUUGCUAUUACUACACUGCCUGAUUUUUAUUUAUCUCAUGGGUUAAUAAAUAUAUCGGCAUAUUAUUUCCA